GAUUGGUUUCUUGACCAAAGU
rnacentral:snRNA from 1 species